AUGAAUCCCACUUCCAACGUGUUUAUUUCUAGUAAUUUAAUUUUGGCCUUUCCCACUCUCAGCGCCGACGACGUGCCCCGCCUCAGCUACCUCCAGUGCAUCAUCAACGAGACGCUACGCCUGUACCCGGCGGCGCCGCUGCUGCUGCCGCACGAGUCCUCCGCCGACUGCAAGGUCGGCGGCUACGACGUGCGGAGCGGCACCAUGCUGAUCGUGAACGCGUACGCCCUCCACAUGGACCCGGCUGUGUGGGAGGACCCGACGGCGUUCCGCCCGGAGCGGUUCGAGGACGGCAAGGGCGACGGGCUGCUGCUGAUGCCGUUCGGGAUGGGGCGGCGGAGGUGCCCCGGCGAGGCGCUGGCGCUGCUGACGGUCGGGGUGGUUCUCGGGACGCUGGUGCAGUGUUUCGACUGGGACCGGGUGGACGGCGUGGAGGUGGACAUGACGGAGGGGGUGGGGAUCACCAUGCCCAAGGCCGUGGCUUUGGAGGCCGUGUGUAGGCCGCGCGCGGCCAUGCGCGAUGUUCUUCAGAAGCUCUGA
rnacentral:rRNA from 1 species